GAGCAACUGGAAAAGUCAGGGUAUUCUCUUUAUUUCGGUAGUGCAUGCCUGCGGCGCACGCGGAACCGCGAUCUGGACACGGCCAUUGUGCAUCAUUUCACCUGUGGGACCAUGCAUGCUUUACUUAAACCCAGGAGCUUUCUGCGGGGGGGAGUAAACCUGUUCUUGCAAAAUCGACACGAAUGAUAUUUGCCCCCUCCCCUCCCUCCGCCCUGCCUUUAUCCCCUCCCAAUUCACCCCUUUGUUUUCUUGUGUAUUGUGGUAUUGUAAAUAAUGCAUCAUUUGCCUCCUCCGGGAGUUUUUCUGGCCUGAUCAUUCAGGACUUGUUUAAUCUCUCAGCUGAGGAGCUAAAGUGCUUCCUUAUUUUUUUUUCUGCAUCCCAGUGCAUUUAUUUCUGCCCAAAGGUUGAGAUCAGAGCCAUUAACUGAGAGGGCAUCCUUAGGAGAGAGGGACACACCCAUUUCAGGCUUGUUAUUUGUGAUUACACAAAGGAAACUGGAAAUGCAGACCAGCUCUCUAAAUCCUGAGACUAUGAUGGCGUAGCCACUUAUUAGGGUGGUUCGCUUUGAAAUAGUCUUGUUAUUGUGACUGUCAUUGGAAUAAUCUAGAUCAUUUAUUUAUUAACAAUGGCUUUCAGUGAAAUAAAUGGAGGGGAGAAACAAAGCCGUGGCGGCUGCCCUCGGGUCUAACAGAUCUGUUUAGAAACGGUCCAUAUUAGCACUGGGUGUGGCCGCCCUCCAGCCUCGCUUGCUUUUCAGCCAUUUUUAUUCAGCCUCAUAUCCCACACAUCCGGCUCUCCUUUGUUACAUUAAGGUUUUAUCCCUCACCUUGCUCACCUUGCAUGAGGAGGAGGAGGAAGGGAGAAUUUGCAAGAAUGAAUUGUAUGAGGUAAAGUCCGGGGUUGGGCAGAUCCAAUGUCUUGAUAUUUAACAAAUACGGUUCUGAAGAAGGCACAUUGAUGGAACCUGCAGGGGUUUGCAGCAUCCUUGGGGACCAAGAGCACUACGUGGUGACUCUUUUUAUCUUUUUCUUUUUUUCUUAGUUUCUCUCUUCUUCAUCGUCAUCAUCUUCUAGCC
rnacentral:lncRNA from 1 species